GCAGGGUUGUCGCUGACCUUUCCAAAAGGUCGUGCACGCCCGAGCGCUCUCAAUCCAUUUCACCCCUUGUGCAUCACCGCGCGGGGUCGCUCCCUCUUGGCUCGCUUCGAGAGGGGGAGGCUCGCGUUUUUCACACAUAAACACCCUUCUGGUUUAGAAUGUCAUUCAUUUGCGAUCACACGCAAUCAAUACAACUUUCAACAACGGAUCUCUUGGCUCUCGCAUCGAUGAAGAACGCAGCGAAAUGCGAUACGUAAUGUGAAUUGCAGAAUUCAGUGAAUCAUCGAAUCUUUGAACGCAUCUUGCGCCCCUUGGUAUUCCGAGGGGCACACCCGUUUGAGUGUCGUGAAAUUCUCAAACCUUCUUGGUUUCUCGAUCAAGAUGGCUUUGGACUUUGGAGGCAUUUUGCUGGCUUUGCGAAAAGCCAGCUCCUCUUAAAUACAUUAGUGGGGUCCCCUUUGCCGAUCCCCAGGCGUGAUAAGAUGUUUCUACGUCUCGGGAUUUGCUCUGUUCCUUGGGAACCCGCUUAUAACCGUCUCAUGGGAGACAUCGUUCGAGCAUGCUCGACCCACGAACCUUGACCUCAAAUCGGGUGAGACUACCCGCUGAACUUAAGCAUAUCAAUAAGNGGGAGGAAGUGUUGG
rnacentral:rRNA from 1 species